AAUCAGUUUAUUGUAAGCUCUUCCUGCUCAAUGAGUCAAUUUAAUAGCCGCAGUACUUUGACUGUGCUAAGGUAGCAUAAUCAUUUGGUCUUUAAUUGGGAUCUAGUAUGAAAGGAUUUACUAAGGAGGUUCUGUCUCAUCAUUAAUGAUUUUAACUUACUUAAAAGGUGAAAAUUCCUUUAAUUAAUCAAAAGACGAGAAGACCCUUAGACUUUUAGAUAUAUUAUAAUUAUUUAAUUCUCUUUUGUUGGGGCGACACAGAGUCAAUAUUUUAACAUACUGAAUUCUUUAUUUAUAAAUCUAAUCUUUUAAUAAUAAGUAAAGUACCUGAGGGAUAACAGCAUUAUUAAUUUAUUAGAUUGUGACCUCGAUGUUGGAUUAGGAAAAGAUUUUUCAGAUAAAAAUUUAAAAAGUUCUGUUCGAACUUUAUCUCCU
rnacentral:rRNA from 1 species